GUCUUUACGCCUGUGCUGCCAUGAGUUCAUAUAUGUGUGCACGUGGUCUGGUUUUUUUGUCAUUGGGGGGAAACAUGCGUACUACAGGGCUUGCCGAGUGCUCACAAACACACACACGCUGGCGGUGCCACCGUCUGCAGCGGCCAUCUGCGCUGGAAACAUAGAGAGGGGUAAAAGAAGCUGACAGUAGAAAUGGAAAGGGGAUAGAUUGAGAGCAGUGCGAGGAGGAGUGUCCGCCUACUGCACUGGGGCUGCCAAAAUACAAUUUUAUGUAAUAAACUGGGGGGAAUUGAAUAUUUCAGUCUGAUCUACACAGUCUGUUGGACACCAGCAGCAGUGAGCAGACCUCCCUUUGCUUUGCAGCUAAAUGUUUCUUUUUUGCAGGAUUAAAAAAAAGUCUUAGAGGUGCAUUUAUCCCAUAAACUGUCUUUCAGGGUUUUCAUUUAAAUAGCACCUGCUUCAUCACUCGAAGCAUGCUUAUGGGGAUGCUGAAGCAAAUUUAAACAUUUACUUCAGCAUUUAAUUAUUUUUUUUUUUUUGCUAAGACUUAGAAGAGAAGUUGACAUGCCCAUAAGUGUAAGAAGGAACCGAUGGCUACUUUUUAAAGUCUGAGACAUACUGAAAUUUUGAGCCAGUGCUGGUACUGUUUGAAAAAACAGAAGUCUUAUACUGAAAUCUUUCCCUGCUCACUUGUGUAUUUGUUUCUGAACCCCUUUUAUAGAUGGAACUUGGCUUAUUCACUGUGCUGAACCAACUUUAAAAUUAGCCAAUGCAGAUACAGAUGCAGAUGUUUCAUCGUGAAACUGUGUUGGAAAUAUUUGUAUCAAACAUGACACUUGAAGUUUAUUACAUAAACAUUUCUGUAUACCUCUUAAUUGAUGUUAUAUUGCAUUUUAAGAUCCAUUUUUGGAUCAUUUUGGACAAUGCCAAAUAGUGUUUACAGUGGAUUAUCACAUGUACUAAAUCACACAAUAAAGAUAUCUUUAAAAAAAAUAAAUUCAACCUACUCUCGCUAUAAUCAU
ensembl:lncRNA